UACGAAGGGGGCUAGCGUUGCUCGGAAUCACUGGGCGUAAAGGGUGCGUAGGCGGGUAUUUAAGUCAGGGGUGAAAUCCUGGAGCUCAACUCCAGAACUGCCUUUGAUACUGAGUAUCUUGAGUACGGGAGAGGUGAGUGGAACUGCGAGUGUAGAGGUGAAAUUCGUAGAUAUUCGGAAGAACACCAGUGGCGAAGGCGACUUACUGGACGAUUGUUGACGCUGAGGUGCGAAAGCGUGGGGAGCAAACAGG
rnacentral:rRNA from 1 species